GAUCAAACCAUAAAAACAAACACUCCCCAUUUUUUCACCAUUUUCAAACCUCUCCAGAUCGAUUCAAUCCCAGACACUCAAUUCAUGUUAUGAUCUGCGGUUCCACAGGUAAGAAAUUACUCGCUAAAGCAGAGGAUGCUUCUGAUUUCCUCGUUGACCCUCCCAAUGUAGAGGAGAAACUCGGCGCCCUAUCCUUCUCUUUUUUCUUGCCUUCCUUUCUUUAUUAAAUAACGUAUUUGCCACCGAACCGGUUCAGGGAAUCGGCGUCUCGGCAUAUGGAUAUCAUUAUCAACUCUCUUUACAGCAACAAAGUAUUUUCCUCAGAGAGUUGAUUUCCAAUGCAUCUGAUGCGCUUGAUAAAAUAAGGUUUCUGUCGCUAACGGACGAAGAGGUUUUGGGUGAAGGAGACAAUGCCAAGCUAGAAAUUCAGGUUAGUGAUUAAUUAAUUUUGUAGAAUUGUUGAAAUUGUGAUUAAUUUGAAGUUUUACCACAGCCCCAAGUCAGGAACUUCAGGUAUAUACGUUGAACAGAAGGCGGAAAUGUAAGUUUUGGGUGUUUGGGGGUUAAAUAUGUAAAUUGCCGUGUUAACAUUUGUGGAGAAAAUGCAGUCAAGUGAGGGCCUUAAUUUGAUUGGACAGUUUGGGGUAGGGUUCUAUUCUGUAUAUCUUGCUGCCGACGAUGUCGAAGUCCCUGGCAAGCAUAAUGAUGACUAGCAGUAAGUGUUCUUGUAUGUUGGGGCCGGUAAGAUUGGAUACAUGUUGUUUGUGGAUUCCAGGUAUGUGUGGGAAUCGAAGCCUGAUGGAGCGUUAGCGAUAUCUGAGGAUACCUGGAAUGAACCUCUGGGACGUGGAACUGAGAUAAGAUUGCAUAUCAGAGACGAAGCUGGAGAGUACUUGGAGGAGAAGAAUCUGAAAUGUGAAGCGAACUGCCCAACUGAUGUACCAAGCAGCACUCUUCAUGCUCAACGAUCCCAAAGAGUUUGCCUCUCGUAUCUACAACUCUGUGAAAUCUAGCCUGAGCAUCAGUCCAGAUGCAAUCAUUGAAGAGGAAGAUGAUGUAGAAGAAGUUGAAACGUAAACAAAAGAAGCCACUUCCCAACACUGAAGCUGAACCCACAAGAGAUGAUGAGGAUACAGAACCUUCUUCUGUCAAGGAUGAGUUGUAGAUUGCCCAAAGAAUGUGCCAUUUCCAUCCUUUUUCAGGCAUUCCUUUUUCCUGUAAUGCUGUUUAUUAGAGAAGCUGAACUGCUUCAUGUAUUUUUCACAGUCGAACUUCAUAGUAGGCCGUAGAGCUAAUGUAUACAUACGGAUUUUACCUUUUCAGCACAUAGUUAUUGAUGAGCUGCAAAAAUGGAAUUUUGGUCCCCUCCCUGUUUCAUAGUCCGUGCACGGGUACAGGGUCUGAAGUUUUUGGUCGAUUAAGGCCCAUAAAUGAACGUCGCGAGAAUUUGU